rnacentral:rRNA from 1 species
CCUACGGGAGGCAGCAGUAGGGAAUUUUCGGCAAUGGAGGGAACCCUGACCGAGCAACGCCGCGUGAAGGAAGAAGGAAUUCGGAUUGUAAACUCCUUUUGUUAGAGAAGAUAAUGACGGUAUCUAACGAAUAAGCACCGGCUAACUCCGUGCCAGCAGCCGCGGUAAUACGGAGGGUGCAAGCGUUACUCGGAAUCACUGGGCGUAAAGAGCGCGUAGGCGGGAUAGCAAGUCAGAUGUGAAAUCCUAUGGCUUAACCAUAGAACUGCAUUUGAAACUGUUAUUCUAGAGUAUGGGAGAGGUAGGUGGAAUUCUUGGUGUAGGGGUAAAAUCCGUAGAGAUCAAGAGGAAUACUCAUUGCGAAGGCGACCUGCUAGAACAUAACUGACGCUGAUGCGCGAAAGCGUGGGGAGCAAACAGGAUUAGAUACCCCUGUAGUC